AAAGCACAGCAGGUCAGGCAGCAUCCGAGGAGCAGGAGAGUCGACGUUUCGGGCAUAAGCUCUUCAUCAGGAAAGAACUUACCACCAAGAGACAGAUGGGCAGCCACAUUUAAAAGGGGAAUUGGAUACACUCAGGGCAAGGAAUAGACAGGAAGGCUGCUAACAGGAGAUGCCUCAUGUGGAGGAUGAACACUAGCAUCAAGCAGAUGGGCCAAAGGGUCUGCUCAGUACUGUACGUUCUUUAUGCAGUGAAGUCCUGGGGAUUAAGAAUCAUUGAAAACCUCCCAAACCAUGAUAUUUGCAGUGGACAGAGCAGGCUCCCACAGGCAGUAUGAGAUAUACCAGCAGCACACAGCACUGGGAAUGUAUGGCUUCCUUUUGUAUUCCUUUUAAACUUGAGGAUCAGCAAAGAUUAGACUCAAGCGAAAAGACAUUUCAUGCAGGAAGCGGGUGUCACUGACAUUGGCACACCCGGCCUGCCCUCAGACUGAGCGGCUUCCUAUAGCCACUUCAGGGUGCAAUUAAGAAUCAACUCCACUGGUGUGGGUCUGGAGUCACGUGUAAGAUUCACGGCCACUGCCUGCAACUUACCCCCUAACUUCCUCAACCAUCGCUGCCCUAGACUGGCAAGGCUAACUACUCCUCACCCCCACCCUCCAUACCCCCUGUACCCCUAGAGUUCAGGCAGAGAAUGGAUGCACUGCUAUGGGGUGAUUGCCUUGACAACAGGACUACACGUGCAGUGGAAUACUCCCCACUUGCCUGGAUGCAACACUCAAGAAGCUUGACACCAUCCAGGACAAAGCAGCCCACUUGACAGGCAUCGCAUUCACAAACAUCCACUCCCUCCACCAGCGACGCUCUGUCAUAGCAUCAGUGUGUACUCUCAACAAGAUGUGCUGCAGAAACUCACCAAAAAUCCUUUGACAGCAUCUUCCAAAC